rnacentral:rRNA from 1 species
AAUUGACGGGGGCCCGCACAAGCGGAGGAACAUGUGGUUUAAUUCGAUGAUACGCGAGGAACCUUACCCGGGCUUAAAUUGCAGUGGAAUGAUGUGGAAACAUGUCAGUGAGCAAUCACCGCUGUGAAGGUGCUGCAUGGUUGUCGUCAGCUCGUGCCGUGAGGUGUCGGCUUAAGUGCCAUAACGAGCGCAACCCUUAUCUUCAGU